UACGUAGGGUGCAAGCGUUGUCCGGAAUUAUUGGGCGUAAAGGGCUCGUAGGCGGCCAACUAAGUCAGACGUGAAAUCCCUCGGCUUAACCGGGGAACUGCGUCUGAUACUGGAUGGCUUGAGUGUGGGAGAGGGAUGCGGAAUUCCAGGUGUAGCGGUGAAAUGCGUAGAUAUCUGGAGGAACACCGGUGGCGAAGGCGGCAUCCUGGACCAUUACUGACGCUGAUGAGCGAAAGCCAGGGGAGCAAACGGG
rnacentral:rRNA from 1 species